GGAUUGAACGCUGGCGGCAGGCCUAACACAUGCAAGUCGAGCGGCAGCACGGGUACUUGUACCUGGUGGCGAGCGGCGGACGGGUGAGUAAUGCCUAGGAAUCUGCCUGAUAGUGGGGGAUAACGUUCGGAAACGGACGCUAAUACCGCAUACGUCCUACGGGAGAAAGUGGGGGAUCUUCGGACCUCACGCUAUCAGAUGAGCCUAGGUCGGAUUAGCUAGUGGUAGGGUAAAGCCUACCAAGCUACGAUCCGUAACUGGUCUGAGAGGAUGAUCAGUCACACUGGAACUGAGACACGGUCCAGACUCCGUACGGGAGGCAGCAGGUGGGGAAUAGUUGGAACAAGUGGGCGAAAGCCUAGGAUCCGAGCCAAGUCGACCGCGUGGUCGUGAAGGAAGGUCUUACGGAUUGGUAAACGCUAACGUUUUAAGUGGGUAAGGAAGG
rnacentral:rRNA from 1 species